rfam:Ananas comosus cultivar MD2 ACMD2_Scaffold_1102, whole genome shotgun sequence.
GUAAGAGUGCGAUGUUGGGGCGGCUCAAUCAAAUGAUGUAUAUGUCUUCAUGAGACUAUCGGAUGAACUUUUAUAUCUGAUUGAGCCGUGCCAAUAUCACAAUUCUUUUC